rnacentral:lncRNA from 1 species
CUCGGAGCCACCCCGGAAGACCAUGCGCAGAGGGGUGCUGAUGACCCUGCUGCAGCAGUCGGCCAUGACCCUGCCCCUGUGGAUCGGGAAGCCUGGUGACAAGCCCCCACCCCUCUGUGGGGCCAUCCCUGCCUCAGGAGACUAUGUGGCCAGACCUGGAGACAAGGUGGCUGCCCGGGUGAAGGCCGUGGAUGGGGAUGAGCAGUGGAUCCUGGCCGAGGUGGUCAGUUACAGCCAUGCCACCAACAAGUGAGUGACACCAGCCCUGGGGCUGCUCUCUGCCCUUCCUGUCCACCUGCCCCACAGCCCCAGGAGGACUACUCUAUCCUGUUUGAAGACACCUCCUAUGCAGACGGCUACUCCCCUCAUCUCAGUGUGGCCCAGAGGUACCUGGUAGCUUCUAAGGAGCCCAAGAAAAAGUGACGCUGCCCGGCGGACUCGACGUCCUCCACCAUCUUGGGGCAGGACAGCAGAGGAUGUGCUGGGAUUAAACAGACAUCCCCCCUCCACACAUCUCCUGGGUUUUACUUCUCCAAACCCUUCUCCCCUCCCCAGAUAUGGUGACCUGGGGAGCUGAAGGCUGGGGGAGAGGUGACCAUAUGUGGCCCCACUGGGCAUUCACUCUUUCAGCUCAGAGUUUCUCUUCCUUUCCAAUACAGGCUCUACAUGAACACAAAUCAUAUUUUAUUUUAAUUGAGCUUUAUUUUCUUUGGAGGGAGGGUCUUGCUUGUCAUCCAGGCUGUAGUGAAUGGGCAUGUCAUAACUCACUGUAUCCACAACCUCCUGGGCUGAAAUGAUCCUCCAGCCUCUGCUUCCCAAGUAGCUGGGACUACAGGUAAGUGCCAGCACAUGUGGCUAAUUUUUUUACAUCUUUGUAGAGAUGAGGUCUCACUAUUUUACCAGGCUGGUCUCAAAUUCGUGGCCUAUUGUGAUCCUACCAGCUCAACCUCCCAAAUCGCUGGGAUUGCAGACAUGAGCCACUGUGCCUGACUCAAAAAUCAUACUUUAUUCUUGAGCCCAUUGGUCAGGGUAGAUUCGCACACUCCCUCUGCAGUGACUCCAGGAGCCCCUCUCACAGCUCAGAGCGGAAGCUGAGGCUGCAGCCUGCCAUCUUCUCCGCAUAGUCCGCAUCGAAGCGCUCAUUCUGCGCCACGGUGAAGGUGGUCUUCCAGUCCCC